rnacentral:rRNA from 1 species
UACGGAGGGUGCGAGCGUUGUCCGGAAUCAUUGGGCGUAAAGGGCGCGUAGGUGGCCCGGUCAGUCUUUGGUGAAAGCGCGGGGCUCAACCCUGCGUCGGCCAGGGAUACUGCCGCGGCUCGAGCACUGUAGAGGCAGGCGGAAUUCCGGGUGUAGCGGUGGAAUGCGUAGAGAUCCGGAGGAAGACCGGUGGCGAAGGCGGUCUGCUGGGCAGUUUCUGACACUGAGGCGCGACAGCGUGGGAAGCAAACAGG